rnacentral:rRNA from 1 species
UACGGGGGGGGCAAGCGUUGUUCGGCAUUACUGGGCGUAAAGGGCUCGUAGGCGGCCAACUAAGUCAUACGUGAAAUCCCUCGGCUUAACCGGGGAACUGCGUCUGAUACUGGAUGGCUUGAGUUCGGGAGAGGGAUGCGGAAUUCCAGGUGUAGCGGUGAAAUGCGUAGAUAUCUGGAGGAACACCGGUGGCGAAGGCGGCAUCCUGGACCGAUACUGACGCUGAGGAGCGAAAGCCAGGGGAGCAAACGGG